rnacentral:rRNA from 1 species
GAUGAACGCUGGCGGCGUGCCUAAUACAUGCAAGUCGAGCGAACAGAUAAGGAGCUUGCUCCUUUGACGUUAGCGGCGGACGGGUGAGUAACACGUGGGUAACCUACCUAUAAGACUGGGAUAACUUCGGGAAACCGGAGCUAAUACCGGAUAACAUUUGGAACCGCAUGGUUCUAAAGUGAAAGAUGGUUUUGCUAUCACUUAUAGAUGGACCCGCGCCGUAUUAGCUAGUUGGUAAGGUAACGGCUUACCAAGGCAACGAUACGUAGCCGACCUGAGAGGGUGAUCGGCCACACUGGAGCUGAGACACGGUCCAGACUCCUACGGGAGGCAGCAGUAGGGAAUCUUCCGCAAUGGGCGAAAGCCUGACGGAGCAACGCCGCGUGAGUGAUGAAGGGUUUCGGCUCGUAAAACUCUGUUAUUAGGGAAGAACAAAUGUGUAAGUAACUGUGCACGUCUUGACGGUACCUAAUCAGAAAGCCACGGCUAACUACGUG